CAACUCUCAACAACGGAUAUCUUGGCUCCCGUAUCGAUGAAGAACGCAGCGAAAUGCGAUACGUAGUGUGAAUUGCAGAAUUCCGUGAACCAUCGAAUCUUUGAACGCAAAUUGCGCCCGAGGCUUCGCCGAGGGCAUGUCUGCCUCAGCGUCGG
rnacentral:rRNA from 1 species